AUACGGAGGGUGCAAGCGUUAUUCGGAAUUACUUUUCGUAAAUCGCACGCAGGCGGUCUGUCAAGUCGGAUGUGAAAUCCCCGGGCUCAACCUGGGAACUGCAUUCGAAACUGGCAGGCUAGAGUCUUGUAGAGGGGGGUAGAAUUCCAGGUGUAGCGGUGAAAUGCGUAGAGAUCUGGAGGAAUACCGGUGGCGAAGGCGGCCCCCUGGACAAAGACUGACGCUCAGGUGCGAAAGCGUGGGGAGCAAACAGGAUUAGAUACCCUGGUAGUCCACGCCGUAAACGAUGUCGAUUUGGAGGUUGUGCCCUUGAGGCGUGGCUUCCGGAGCUAACGCGUUAAAUCGACCGCCUGGGGAGUACGGCCGCAAGGUUAAA
rnacentral:rRNA from 1 species